AGGACGAACGCUGGCGGCGUGCUUAACACAUGCAAGUCGAGCGGUAAGGCCUUUCGGGGUACACGAGCGGCGAACGGGUGAGUAACACGUGGGUGAUCUGCCCUGCACUCUGGGAUAGGCCUGGGAAACUGGGUCUAAUACCGGAUAUGACCUGCUCUCGCAUGGGGGUGGGUGGAAAGAUUUAUCGGUGCAGGAUGGGCCCGCGGCCUAUCAGCUUGUUGGUGGGGUAAUGGCCUACCAAGGCGACGACGGGUAGCCGACCUGAGAGGGUGACCGGCCACACUGGGACUGAGACACGGCCCAGACUCCUACGGGAGGCAGCAGUGGGGAAUAUUGCACAAUGGGCGAAAGCCUGAUGCAGCGACGCCGCGUGAGGGAUGAAGGCCUUCGGGUUGUAAACCUCUUUCAGCAGGACGAAGCGCAAGUGACGGUACCUGCAGAAGAAGCACCGGCUAACACGUGCUAGCAGCCGC
rnacentral:rRNA from 1 species